UGGCGAACGGGUGAGUAACACGUGGGCAAUCUGCCCUGCACUCUGGGACAAGCCCUGGAAACGGGGUCUAAUACCGGAUAUUACUCGUCAAGGCAUCUUGACGGGUGGAAAGCUCCGGCGGUGCAGGAUGAGCCCGCGGCCUAUCAGCUUGUUGGUGGGGUGAUGGCCUACCAAGGCGACGACGGGUAGCCGGCCUGAGAGGGCGACCGGCCACACUGGGACUGAGACACGGCCCAGACUCCUACGGGAGGCAGCAGUGGGGAAUAUUGCACAAUGGGCGAAAGCCUGAUGCAGCGACGCCGCGUGAGGGAUGACGGCCUUCGGGUUGUAAACCUCUUUCAGCAGGGAAGAAGCGCAAGUGACGGUACCUGCAGAAGAAGCACCGGCUAACUACGUGCCAGCAGCCGCGGUAAUACGUAGGGUGCGAGCGUUGUCCGGAAUUAUUGGGCGUAAAGAGCUCGUAGGCGGCUUGUCGCGUCGGAUGUGAAAGCCCGGGGCUUAACCCCGGGUCUGCAUUCGAU
rnacentral:rRNA from 1 species